ACACAUAUCUUGCAGGAGAGAGACCUAGAUCAAGAAGGUGGGUCUCCCAGGGUAAGACUCUUCCACUGCACUUGGGAAGGGCCAACCACUGCGAUUUCCCCAAAUGCAGGAAACUCUAACGACAUCAUUUAUGGUAGUGGGGGACUGCAUGCUUGCUUUACCCCU